AUACUUUCCUAGCAUGGGGUUCACCAUGAUUACCAUGGUGGUGUUCCCAGGGCAAGAGUUAUUUAUCUAUUGCACUAUGUAUGUGCUUACUCCUUUGCUUUUACCAAAUGUGGAAAAUUCACCUACAUAAUUUGUGGUAGUUGGAAAAAGUGCUUGCUAUCUCAC
ensembl:snRNA U1 U1 spliceosomal RNA